rnacentral:SRP_RNA from 1 species
CUGUGCUAGACGGAGAGUUAGCGGUCCUCUCUUCCUGAAAUCCGCUAUAUGCAGGGUUGAAUUCCGUUGAGCGGGUUAUUAUGAGUAUGAAGCUGUUUUAUAUAUUGCAAUGACCUUUAGAACUUUGUACAAUAAUAUUGUUUCCUAAUCCGCCAGGUCUGGAAAGAAGCAACGGUAAGAAAUAAUUUAUGUGAUACAAACCACUGUAAAGUAGUGUUAUAUUAGACUGUAGAUUUCAAACAGAUAAUUCAAUCAACGGUGCACAG